CCUACGGGAGGCAGCAGUGGGGAAUAUUGCACAAUGGGGGAAACCCUGAUGCAGCGACGCCGCGUGAGUGAAGAAGUAAUUCGUUAUGUAAAGCUCUAUCAGCAGGGAAGAAAAUGACGGUACGUGAGUAAGAAGCCCCGGCUAACUACGUGCCAGCAGCCGCGGUAAUACGGAGUGGGCAAGCGUUAUACGGAUUGACUGGGUGUAAAGGGAGCGUAGACGGCAGUGCAAGUAUGGGGUGAAAGGCGGGGGCUCAACCCCCGGGCUGCUGUGGAAACUGUGAGGCUGGAGUGCAGGAGAGGUAAGUGGAAUUCCUAGUGUAGCGGUGAAAUGCGUAGAUAUUAGGAGGAACACCAGUGGCGAAGGCGGCUUACUGGACUGUAACUGACGUUGAGGCUCGAAAGCGUGGGGAGCAAACAGGAUUAGAUACCCUUGUAGUC
rnacentral:rRNA from 1 species